UUGAACGCUGGCGGCAUGCCUUACACAUGCAAGUCGAACGGUAACAGGGAGCUUGCUCCGCUGACGAGUGGCGAACGGGUGAGUAAUGUAUUGGAACGUACCAUUCAGUGGGGGAUAACGUAGCGAAAGUUACGCUAAUACCGCAUAUUCUGUGAGCAGGAAAGCAGGGGAUCGCAAGACCUUGCGCUGAUUGAGCGGCCGAUAUCAGAUUAGCUAGUUGGUGAGGUAAAAGCUCACCAAGGCGACGAUCUGUAGCGGGUCUGAGAGGAUGAUCCGCCACACUGGAACUGAGACACGGUCCAGACUCCUACGGGAGGCAGCAGUGGGGAAUUUUGGACAAUGGGGGCAACCCUGAUCCAGCCAUGCCGCGUGAGUGAAGAAGGCCUUCGGGUUGUAAACUGCUUUUGUACGGAGCGAAAAGGCUCUCUCUAAUACAGGGGGCUCAUGACGGUACCGUAAGAAUAAGCACCGGCUAACUACGU
rnacentral:rRNA from 1 species